AGUGACAGUUCUUGCUUGGCUUUAUUAGUUUGCAGAGGAAUCGUCCAGGAGCCCCAGCCGGAUGAGAAUGUCAGAAGUGGACCUGAGCAGCCUGGACAUCCUUCUAAGGAAACAAGAAUUGUCCUCAGGUUUCUGCAUUCUGCAUAACUGGCUUACCAAGCAAUAAGACGUCGCAUGUCAAAGUUUACUGCCCCUAUGAGUGAGAGUGACGAGACUGCGAGCGUUGUUGGUGCCAGGCAGGAGCCAUCCAUCUGGGAGCAGAACAGCUGCUACUAUCACUGAGAUAAGUAUCUGUUUUGCUGAGGGUUCUGCUCACGGCCCACCUGGCUACAGGUAGAGGCACCCCGUUAGGUGGAGUGGGUUUGUAAGAAAAGGUUCCUGACUAGCUGUGGUUUUGAGGGAGACACGGUCCCCAUUUUCAGGGGCUGAUCAUUUCUCUGGCCAGGGUCGGUGUGUCCUCGGCAGGAGAAGCUUAGAUCCAUGAGGAUGACUCCAAGUGAGGAAUUGUCCAGGAGCAGCAGCUGAAGGAGAAAGUGGCAGAGGCGGAUCUGAGGAGCCUGGACAUCCUUCUAAGCAGACAUGAAUGGUCCUCAGAUUUCUGCCUCCCGCACAACUGGCUGUGAGUGCUUGGAAUCCCUCAUCUGUACUGGCUCCGGUUUUGUUCAGAGGCUCUGAAUUUCCUCAUUGGACACGGUGCUCUGUGGGAUUCAGACGAGGCAAAGGCACAAGUCUCCUGUGCAGAUGCUGGGUUUAGUACCAAGUGCAGAGUCAGAGUCCACUCCGCACAUGCCAUGGAAAGGGAGCGAGAGCUGGGAGAUUCUAAGCAUUGUUGAUGCCAGGGAAGAGCCAACCAGCUGGGAGUGGAGCAAGGACCACUGUCAGUGAGAUAAGUGUUUUGUUAGGUGAAGGCUCUGCUGUGGUUACGAGGGAGACAAGGUCCCUAUUUUCAGGGGCUGCUCAGUCCUCUGGCCAGUACCGGUGUGUCCUCUGCAGCGGAAGGUUGGAUCCAGGAGGAUGACUCCAGGUGACAAGUUGCUUGCCUUCCUCCCGUGUUUCUCAUUUUCUUGCUCUCUGUCUCUCUAGUGUGUUGGCCAACGCUCUCUCUUAAUCUGUCCUUUCCUUUCCUUGUGCCAUCUCCCUUCUUAGGACACAGGCAGGCCUGCGAGAUGUGCAUCUCCACAGGUUAGGUCUUGAAAGCCCUGGAGUAGUAGGAGGGGACGAAAACCAUGCGGGGUAGUGGGUGCGAGAGUGGAGCAGUGACUGUCAGUGUUGAAUCGGUCUCUGUUCAAGUGGGACUGAUGUAGAUGGGAUGGAAGAGGGAGGCAGGAUUGAG